rnacentral:rRNA from 1 species
GACGAACGCUGGCGGCGUGCUUAACACAUGCAAGUCGAACGGAAAGGCCCUGCUUUUGUGGGGUGCUCGAGUGGCGAACGGGUGAGUAACACGUGAGUAACCUGCCCUUGACUUUGGGAUAACUUCAGGAAACUGGGGCUAAUACCGGAUAGGAGCUCCUGCUGCAUGGUGGGGGUUGGAAAGUUUCGGCGGUUGGGGAUGGACUCGCGGCUUAUCAGCUUGUUGGUGGGGUAGUGGCUUACCAAGGCUUUGACGGGUAGCCGGCCUGAGAGGGUGACCGGCCACAUUGGUACUGAGAUACGGCCCAGACUCCUACGGGAGGCAGCAGUGCGGAAUAUUGCACAAUGGGAGGAAGCCUGAUGCAGCAAAGCCGCGUGCGGGAUGACGGCCUUCGGGUUGUAAACCGCUUUCGCCUGUGACGAAGCGUGAGUGACGGUAAUGGGUAAAGAAGCACCGGCUAACUACGUG